AAGAAUUCCCUGAGAGCCACAAUCCCUGCCCUGGGAGUUGUUCCCCCCUCCUUGGAAGUAAAAUUCCCCCCUCCGGGAAGAAAUCCGGGCAAACGGAAAGCGAGCGGUUCCCGGCGGUUUCCCGGGAAAAGGGAGGGUGGUGGUGGGGUCAGGAGGGUGGGAAUGUGGUUGCUGAACACCUGGAGAGGUGGGGUGGGAAGAGGGGGAGGAUUUAAGGGGUUGUUCUGGGACCUCAGGACCUUCAAAGCCCAGAACUGGGAGUGAAAACGGGUCGAAACUCCGAAUUCUUGAUGAAAAAAAAGGGGGUUGGAGGGCUUGGGGUCAAAACUGGGAGUGAAAACAGUGGGGUCAGACCCCAAACAGUGGGGUUGGGGUUUAGUUUCCAACCCCAAACUCCAAAUAAUGACAGUGGAUUUAGGUUUUAUUUCCAAACUCCAAAUUUCCAACCCCCAAACUCCAAAUGAAAACAGUGGAUUUAGGUUUUAUUUCCAACCCCAAAACUUCAAACGAAAACAGUGGUUUGUGGAUCAAAUCCCAAAACUCUGAAUGCAGACAGUGAAUUUAAGUUUUAUUUCAAGCCCCAAAGUCCAAAUGAAAUCAGUGGGUUUAGGUUUUAUUUCCAACCCUAAAACUCUAAAUAUCAACAGUGGAUUUAGGUUUUAUUUCCAAACCCAAACUCUAAAUGAAAACAAGGAUUUGUACAUUUUAUUUUCAAUUUCCAAACUCCAAAUGCAAACAGUGGGUUUAGGUUUUGUUUUCAAACCCCAAACUCCAAAUAAUGACAAUGGGUUUAGGUUUUAUUUCCCACCCUGAAACUCUGAAUGCAAACAGUGGGUUUAGGUUUUAUUUCCAAACCCCCAAACUCUAAAUAAAAUCAGUGGUUUAAGGUUUUAUUUCCAAACCCCAAACUCUGAAUGAAAACAGGGGUUUGUGGAUCAAAUCCCAAAACUCUGAAUGAAAACAGGGGUUUGUACAUUUUAUUUUCAUAUUCCAAACUCUGAAUGCAAACAGUGGGUUUAGGUUUUAUUUCCAAACCCCAAAAUUCCAAAUGCAAACAGUGAAUUGAGGUUUUAUUUCCAAACCCCAAACUCCAAAUAAUGACAGUGGGUUUAGGGUUUAUUUCCAACCCUAAACCUCUAAAUAUCAACAGUGGAUUUAGAGUUUAUUUCUAAACCCCAAACUCCAAAUGAAAACAGUGCAUUUAGGUUUUAUUUCCAAACCCCAAAAUUCCAAACGAAAACAGGGGUUUGUGGAUCAAAUCCCAAAAAUCUAAAUGCAAACAGUGGAUUGAGGUUUUAUUUCCAAACCCAAAACUCCAAAUACAAACAGUAGAUUUAGGUUUUAUUUCCAAACCCCAAAGCUCUAAAUGCAAACAGUGCAUUUGGGUUUUAUUUUCCAAACCCCAAACUCCAAAUGCAAACAGUGGGUUUAGGUUUUAUUUUCCAAACCCCAAACUCCAAAUAAUGACAAUGGGUUUAGGUUUUAUUUCCAACCCCAAACUCCAAAUAAUAACAAUGGGUUUAGGUUUUACUUUCCAACCCCAAAACUCCAAAUACAAACAGUGCAUUUAGGUUUUAUUUCCAAAAUUUUAGGUCUUAUUUUUAUCAGAACAACAACUUUUAGGUUUUAUUUUUAUCAGAACAAGAAUUUUUAGGUCUUAUUUUUAUUAGAACACAAACUUUUAGGUCUUAUUAGAACAACUUUUAGGGCUCAUUUCUGUCAGAACAAGAACUUUUGGGGCUUAUUUUUAUUAGAACAAGAAUUUUUAGGUCUUUUUUUUUAUUAGAACAACAACUUUUAGGGCUUAUUUUUUAUCAGCAAAACAACUUUUAGGGCUCAUUUUAAUUAGAACAAGAAUUUUUAGGUCUUAUUUUUAUUAGAACACAAACUUUUAGGUCUUAUUUUUAUCAGAACAAGAACUUUUAGGUCUGAUUUUUAUUAGAACAAGAACUUUUAGAUCUUAUUUUUAUCAGAACAACAACUUUUAGGGCUUAUUUUUAGUAGAACACAAACUUUUAGGUCUUAUUAGAACAACUUUUAGGUCUCAUUUUUGUCAGAACAAGAACUUUUGGGGCUUAUUUUUAUUAGAACAAGAAUUUUUAGGUCUUAUUUUUAUCAGAACAAGAAUUUUUAGGUCUUAUUUUUAUCAGAACAAGAACUUCUGGGUCUCAUUUUUAUCAGAACAAGAACUUUUAGGUCUUAUUUUUAUCAGAACAAGAACUUUUAGAUCUUAUUUUUAUUAGAAUAAGAACUUUUAGGUCUUAUUUUUAUCAGAACAAGAACUUUUAGGUCUUAUUUUUAUUAGAACACAAACUUUUAGGUCUUAUUAGAACAACUUUUAGGGCUCAUUUCUGUCAGAACAAGAACUUUUGGGGCUUAUUUUUAUUAGAACAAGAAUUUUUAGGGCUUAUUUUUAUUAGAACAAGAACUUUUAGGGCUUAUUUUUAUUAGAAAAACAACUUUUAGGUUUUAUUUUUAUCAGAAUAACAACUUUUAGGUGUUAUUUUUAUUAGAACAAGAACUUUUAGGUCUCAUUUUUAUCAGAACAACAACUUUUAGGGCUUAUUUUUAGUAGAACACAAACUUUUAGGUCUUAUUAGAACAACUUUUAGGGCUCAUUUUUGUCAGAACAAGAACUUUUGGGGCUUAUUUUUAUUAGAACAAGAAUUUUUAGGUCUUAUUUUUAUCAGAACAAGAAUUUUUAGGUCUUAUUUUUAUCAGAACAAGAACUUCUGGGUCUCAUUUUUAUCAGAACAAGAACUUUUAGGUCUUAUUUUUAUCAGAACAAGAACUUUUAGAUCUUAUUUUUAUUAGAAUAAGAACUUUUAGGUCUUAUUUUUAUCAGAACAAGAACUUUUAGGUCUUAUUUUUAUUAGAACACAAACUUUUAGGUCUGAUUUUUAUUAGAACAAGAAACUUUUAGGUCUUAUUUUUAUCGGAACAACAACUUUUAGGUCUUAUUUUUAUUAGAAAAACAACUUUUAGGUCUUAUUUUUAUCAGAACAAGAACUUUUAGGUCUCACUUUUAUCAGAACAAGAACUUUUAGGUGUUAUUUUUAUCAGAACAAGAACUUUUAGGUCUCAUUUUUAUUAGAAAAACAACUUUUAGGUCUCAUUUUUGUCUGAACAAGAACUUUUAGUGCCUCCUGGCUGCCCGUGGUGUCCGGAGGUUCCCUCCCUCCCCCCGCAGUGCCCCUCUCCCUGCUCUUCCCCAGGGAUUUCUU